rnacentral:rRNA from 1 species
AUUACUAAGCGGAGGAAAAGAAACUAACUAGGAUUCCCUUAGUAGCGGCGAGCGAACAGGGAAGAGCCCAGCACCGAAGCCCGCGGUCGGUAACGGCCGCCGGGCAAUGUGGUGUUUAGGAGAGCCCGUCUAACCCGGAUGCGUGCGGCGUGUCCAAGUCCUUCUUGAACGGGGCCACUCGCCCAGAGAGGGUGCCAGGCCCGUAGUGACCGUCGCCGAGUUCGGGUGGGUUUCUCCUUAGAGUCGGGUUGCUUGAGAGUGCAGCUCUAAGUGGGUGGUAAACUCCAUCUAAGGCUAAAUAUGACCACGAGACCGAUAGCGAACAAGUACCGUGAGGGAAAGUGAAAAGAACUUUGAAGAGAGAGUUCAAGAGUACGUGAACCGUUCAGGGUAACCUGAGAACCGAAAGUCGACGGGGAGAUUCAAUGCUCGCCGUGCUGCCGCUUAGGACGUUCAGGACGUAAUGCGUUCUCGGCCGUGUAACGCUCCGUCGUUGAGUUGUUGUUCAGUGCCGGAGGUAUGCACUUCUCCCCUUGUAGGACGUCGCGACCCGUUGGGUGCUGGUCUAAGGUCUGCGUGGUAGCCCGUGGCGGUACGUUCGCGUAUCGACCCGGACCCGCGGUGUCCCGGCCGGCCGCCCGACGGUAUGACUUGUGGUGUUGGGUCGCUGCCCAUUCGUGUGGCGAGCGUUCUAGCUCACGGCAAGUGUAUACGUGGACCGUGGAAAUCGGACCUAGUGCCGGUUCUGCACCCGUGUCACUGUUGGCUGUGAUGCUCUAGAACCGUCCCCGGCAUCCGUCAGCGACGCUUCAGCUUUGGGUAAUUUCAGGACCC